UCCCAGACUUCUGGUUUCCUGCAUUUGU
rnacentral:piRNA from 1 species